rnacentral:rRNA from 1 species
AAGGAUCAUUACAGAGUUCAUGCCCUCACGGGUAGAUCUCCCACCCUUGAAUAUUAUACCUUAGUUGCUUUGGCAGGCCGGGGCAACCCCCGGGGCUUCGGCCUUGGUGUGCCUGCCAGAGGAAACAAACUCUGUUUUUAGUGAUGUCUGAGUACUAUAUAAUAGUUAAAACUUUCAACAACGGAUCUCUUGGUUCUGGCAUCGAUGAAGAACGCAGCGAAAUGCGAUAAGUAAUGUGAAUUGCAGAAUUCAGUGAAUCAUCGAAUCUUUGAACGCACAUUGCGCCCCGUGGUAUUCCGCGGGGCAUGCCUGUUCGAGCGUCAUUUCAACCCAUCAAGCUUCGGCUUGGUCUUGGGGCCUGCGAUUCCGCAGCCUCUAAACCCAGUGGCGGUGCCUCCGAGCUCUGAGCGUAGUAAUUCUUCUCGCUAUAGGGUCUCGGUGGUGUCUUGCCAGUAACCCCUAAUUUUUUACAGGUUGACCUCGGAUCAGGUAGGGAUACCCGCUGAACUUAAGCAUAUCAAUAAGCGGAGGAAAAGAAACCAACAGGGAUUACCUCAGUAACGGCGAGUGAAGCGGUAACAGCUCAAAUUUGAAAUCUGCCGCAAGGCCGAGUUGUAAUUUGUAGAAGAUGCUUUGGGUAUGGCCCCGGUCUAAGUUCGUUGGAACACGACGUCAUAGAGGGUGAGAAUCCCGUAUGUGACUGGGUGCUUUUGCCUAUGUAAAGCUCUUUCGACGAGUCGAGUUGUUUGGGAAUGCAGCUCAAAAUGGGUGGUAUAUUUCAUCUAAAGCUAAAUAUUGGCCAGAGACCGAUAGCGCACAAGUAGAGUGAUCGAAAGAUGAAAAGCACUUUGGAAAGAGAGUUAAACAGUACGUGAAAUUGUUGAAAGGGAAGCGCUUGCAACCAGACUUGCACGCUGUUGAUCAUCCAGGCUUCUGUCUGGUGCACUCGGCAGCGUUCAGGCCAGCAUCGGUUCUGGUGGUGGGAUAAAGGCCUUGGGAAUGUAGCUUCUUUCGGGGAGUGUUAUAGCCCUCGGUGCAAUGCCGCCUAUCGGGACCGAGGACCGCGCUUCGGCUAGGAUGCUGGCGUAAUGGUUGUAAGCGACC